UCUUCGGAAUGAAGUAUUGGUGACUGAGCGGCGGACGGGUGAGUAACGCGUGGGUAACCUGCCUCAUACAGGGGGAUAACAGUUGGAAACGACUGCUAAUACCGCAUAAGCGCACAGUACCGCAUGGUACAGUGUGAAAAACUCCGGUGGUAUGAGAUGGACCCGCGUCUGAUUAGCUAGUUGGUGGGGUAACGGCCUACCAAGGCGACGAUCAGUAGCCGACCUGAGAGGGUGACCGGCCACAUUGGGACUGAGACACGGCCCAAACUCCUACGGGAGGCAGCAGUGGGGAAUAUUGCACAAUGGGGGAAACCCUGAUGCAGCGACGCCGCGUGAGCGAUGAAGUAUUUCGGUAUGUAAAGCUCUAUCAGCAGGGAAGAAAAUGACGGUACCUGACUAAGAAGCCCCGGCUAACUACGUGCCAGCAGCCGCGGUAAUACGUAGGGGGCAAGCGUUAUCCGGAUUUACUGGGUGUAAAGGGAGCGUAGACGGCAUGGCAAGCCAGAUGUGAAAGCCCGGGGCUCAACCCCGGGACUGCAUUUGGAACUGUCAGGCUAGAGUGUCGGAGAGGACAGCGGAAUUCCUAGUGUAGCGGUGAAAUGCGUA
rnacentral:rRNA from 1 species